GAUCUCCUCGGAGUCGGGUUGCUUGGGAGUGCAGCCCUAAGAGGGUGGUAAACUCCACCUAAGGCUAAAUACCGCCGUGAGACCGAUAGCAAACAAGUACCGUGAGGGAAAGUUGCAAAGAACUUUGAAGAGAGAGUUCAAGAGUACGUGAAACUGCUCAGAGGUAAACGGGUGGGCCCUCGAAAUCCUGUGGCGAGAGGAUUCAGUCUGGGGCAGCGGAGGCGAGGGGUCGGAACAUCAGAAGGGCCUCCAGUGAAUCUGGGCCGUCCGACCGCGCCGUUUCGCGCGUUCCAGACGCAUUUGACUCUCGCCCGAAGGACGCAGCAACCGGUCGGGCAUUGCAAGCACGCCGGCCUGAAGGUCGGGGAAUGGCAGGUGGCCGGUGGAGCGCCCUACGGCGCAUCGCCGGUUGUUAGCCGCCCCGUCAGUGGCCCGUCGCCCGACCGAGGUGCAAACAGGUCCCCCCUGGGACCUCUCCGUCUCCUCUCACUCAGAGAUUGCGGGACAGAUCGUCGCUGAUGACGACUUCAGCCCGGUCGCACCCCCGACGGGGUGGACCCGGUGCGGCUGUCGACGUCGCAUGCGGCGGCGGACCCCCCGGAGACCGGAGGCUCGCUGCGAGUAGGUCGGUCACCCACCUGACCCGUCUUGAAACACGGACCAAGGAGUCUAACAUGUGCGCGAGUCAUUGGGUCUUGAACAGGCCCAGAGGCGCAAUGAAAGCAAAGGCACGCAUCACGCGUGCCGAGUUGGGAUCCCCGGUMUUGUGGCCGGGGCGC
rnacentral:rRNA from 1 species